rnacentral:rRNA from 1 species
GCGGUGGAGCAUGUGUUUAAUUCGACGCAACGCGAAGAACCUUACCAGCUCUUGACAUGUCAGGUCGGUUUCCAGAGAUGGAUUCCUCCCAGCAAUGGGCCUGAACACAGGUGCUGCAUGGCUGUCGUCAGCUCGUGUCGUGAGAUGUUGGGUUAAGUCCCGCAACGAGCGCAACCCUCGCCAUUAGUUGCCAUCAUUAAGUUGGGCACUCUAGUGGGACUGCCGGUGAUAAGCCAGAGGAAGGUGGGGAUGGCGUCAAGUCAUCAUGGCCCUUACGGGCUGGGCUACACACCUGCUACAAUGGCGGUGACAGUGGGCAGCAACUCAGCAAUGGGGAGCUAAUCUCAAAAAGCCGUCUCAGUUCGGAUUGGGGUCUGCAACUCGACCCCAUGAAGUCGGAAUCGCUAGUAAUCGCCGGUAUCCAGCCACGCCGCGGUAGUAAAUACGUUCCCGGGCCGUU